AAAUUAUUUUCACCAUCUUUAUAGAGCAAGUGGGUUUCAAGAUUCUUCCCUUUCAGACUCUCUUUGAUAGAGGUCACAAAAAUGUUUGGGAGUCCUUCAUAUCUUAGCCCAAUGGUUCCCCAUUCCACAUCUAUGGCAAACUGAUUUGGUCGAGCUUUGUGGCUCAAAGGAUAUACCACGGCCACUGCCUUGACCAUGGCUCAAAUUGGGUUGAUACCCACGGCCUCUGCCAUAGUGAUUCCCAUGGCCAAAUGUGUUAUAGUGGUCAUGGCCACGUCCUUUCCACCC
rnacentral:lncRNA from 1 species